UAUAUACUCCCUCCGUUCAGAAUUACUUGUUGCAAAAAUGGAUGUAUCUAGACGUAUUUUAGUUCUAGAUAUAUCCAUUUCCGAGACAAGUAAUUCCGAAUGGAGGGAGUAUCUU
rnacentral:pre_miRNA from 1 species